ACCUGAUACGCUUAAUGAAAUAGAAGUCUUUGCUUGUUCACUCUACACUGCCACUCAAACCUUCAUUAUAAUGAGGUUCCCAAGUAAGAUUGAAUAAUAAGUAAGUAAAUAGAAAAUAAAUCUUGAAUGAAACUUCUAUCACUUGAAAGUUGCAUCCUCUAAUCUGAGUAUUCUACUUAUAUGGAGUUAACUAAAAGCAAAUAGUAACAUCACAUCUCUUGGGAUAUCUCAACUUGAGAAAAGCUUAAGAAUAACUAAUCCAUUCUAUAUAGAUUAGCUUACAAUUAAUAACUAAACAUCAAUCACUUAGCACAGUUCUAUUAAUAACUUGCUCAAGUAGGAAUCUCAAAUAUGUAAUCAUAUAUGAAUCUCAACUUUGAAAUAUCAUAUAAAUCAUCCUCUUUAAAGAAAUACAACUUUACUAUUUUAGAAUCUCUCAGAGUCUAAUUUUAUUAUAAGUUACAAAAUACAAUACAUCAAGUGUAUGAGAAGUUAUAUCACAAAAGGCAGAAUCUACCACUGAACUUCGCUGCUUCGCGCAGUACAUUCAGAAAUAAUUUAGCAUAUCUAAUGGUCUCGGAUUUAGCUGAAAUUUGCAGAGAACGACUACACAUGAUGAAGUUAUUACAGUAAAAUUUACAAGUUAUUUGGACUACGAAAACAUCAUCAAAAGUACCCCGAAACAUACUGUUCUGUCCAACCCGAAAUCUGACAGCAAUGCUCAUUGACAUAUCACUCAUAUUUUCCUCAAAUAACAGCUAUAGGAACACAUUAGCAUGCUUUAGCUUAACUUAAUUCUAAACAAUUACUAACUUGAAACAUGUAGUAAUCAACAUGAUACAAGAGGCAAAAUCGUUUUCUUCCACAACAGCCUAUUUCUCGAAAUAGCAAGAAGAAGAGAUAGGAGAAUUUCUUCUAUUCAACUAUCAAUAAGACUUAAUCCAAGAUUUCUCACCUUAAUAUACGUUUCUGGAUGAAUAUAGGUGUGAUUUUUUUUGGAGUGAUUCUUGGAGCUUGGAUCGACAAACAUGGAGGUUGAGGAAAAGAAGAGGGAUACGGCACCUUGGUAGAAGAAGGGAGAAAAGGAAGGUUGUCUUUCCUUAUAAGCUAAUUCAUAAAGUCCACUAUACUUAUCCAAUAAAAU
rnacentral:lncRNA from 1 species